CAUAACCUGCUGGUUCAAGCAAAGGGCGUUGUCAUUUGGACAAGUUAUCCACACAGAGGGCUUCCAGGAGGUUACAAAAGGGGUGAUCUGUCAUUUCUGGAUUCUUAAAGUUGAAGUUCUGUACAAAGUCCGAUCAAACAACAGCGCCUCCAACAGACAGGCAAGAGAAGAGGAUGCAGAGAUCAAGCCUGACAUGAUUGCUGUUAAUAAUCUGGAGCCAUAGUCAGCUCUAUAUCUAAUGUUGUCAUGUUGUCAAA